rnacentral:rRNA from 1 species
GAUAAACGCUGGCGGCGUGCAUGAGACAUGCAAGUCGAACGGGCUUCUCGGGCUUGCUCGAGAAGCUAGUGGCGGACGGCUGAGUAACGCGUAGGUGACCUACCCCGAAGUGGGGAAUAACUGCCCGAAAGGGUGGCUAAUACCGCAUGUGAUCGGUUAUUCAUUUGAUUGAUCAAAGCAGCAAUGCGCUUUGGGAGGGGCCCGCGGCCUAUCAGCUUGUUGGUGGGGUGAUGGCCUACCAAGGCGACGACGGGUAGCCGGCCUGAGAGGGCGACCGGCCACACUGGGACUGAGACACGGCCCAGACUCCUACGGGAGGCAGCAGUGGGGAAUAUUGCGCAAUGGGCGGAAGCCUGACGCAGCGACGCCGCGUGAGGGAUGACGGCCUUCGGGUUGUAAACCUCUUUCAGCUCUGACGAAGCGAGAGUGACGGUAGGAGCAGAAGAAGCACCGGCCAACUACGUGC